AUUUUUCCCUAAAUAAUUCCCAAACUGCAAGGUCUCAUCCAGACAUCCUUUGUAUUCUGAAGCCCAGACGUGCUGUGCACCGUGUACCCAGGAAGCAAAAAAAAAAAAAAAAAAAAAAAAUUUCUUCCAGCUUGUAAAAAGUAACAGAAAUUAUUUGUUACAUCACAAUGCACCUACCUGCUCCCACUCCAGAAACACACUUCCUUUAGACAGGGCAGAACUCAACUGGCAAAACCAGAUUCAAUGCAAUGCCAACCAAAAAUCCCACCAGGAUUAUAGAUAUCAACAAGCUGAUUCUAAAAUGUACCUGGAAAGGUAAAGCAACUAGAAUACUCAAAUAUAUACUCAACUAUUUCUGAAAAAUAGCACAAUUAGAGAAGCAACAUUACCUGAUUUCAAGAUUUACUAUAAAGCUACAGUAAUCAACAGUGUGUAAAGGACAAAUGGAAGACUCACAUCAAUGGAAAAGAAUACAGAAUCCAGAAGUAGACCCAAGGUAUAUGAUCAACAGACUUUCAACAAAAGUAAUUCAAUGGAGAAAAAACAGUCUUUUCAAACAACAACAACAACAAACACAUUGGAACUACUGCUUAUCUAAAAACAAAAAAAUAAAUCUCAGGGGCGUCUGGGUGGCUCAGUUGGUUCAGCGUCUGACUUUGGCUCAGGUCAUGAGCUCACAGUUCAUGGGUUCUAGCCCCACGUCAGGCUCUGUGCUGACAGCUCAGAGCCUGGAGCCUGCUUCAGAUUCUGUGUCUCCCUCUUUCUCUGUGCCUCCCCCGUUCAUACUCUGUGUCUCUCUGUCUUAAAAAAUAAAUAAACAUUUUAAAAAAUUUAAAAAACACAAAUAUAAAUCUCAAUCCAUGCCUUGCACCAUUCAGAAAAAUUAACUCUAAGUAAAUCAUAAACCUAAAUGUAAAAUUUUAAACUAUAAAACUUCUAGGAGAAAAUUCAGAGGAAGUCUUUUUGUUUAGGUUAAGCAAAGAUUUUUCAGAUACUACACCAAAAGCACAAUCCAUUAAAGAAAAAACAACUGGAACAUUACCAAAAGAACUGCUGUUCUAAAGACAAUUAUUAUUAGGAAACAAAAAGCCACAGACAAGAAGAAAGUAUUUAUAAACCAUAAUCAUGUAUCUGAUUCUAAAAUGUGUAUACAACUCUCAAAAGUCAAUAAUAAAGCAAAUAAUUCAAUGUUUUUAAUCGGCAAAAUAACUGAAUACAUUACCAAAGAAUGGCAAAUAAUCACAUGAAAGGAUGCUUAACAUCAUUAGUCACUAGGCAAAUGGGAAAAAAAAAAAAAAAAAGGCUACAUUCUGUAUGUUUCCAUUUGCAUGACAUUCUUUAAAAGGCAAAAAACCAUGGAGACAGAAAACAGAUCAAUAGUGUCCAGGGUCUGGGAGUGGAAAAUGGGUUGACUACAAAAGGGCUCAGAAGAAUUUGGGGGAUAAAGAAACCAUUCCAUACAUAUCUUGACCGAAAUAGUGGUUAUACAAAUGUAUACAUCUGUCAAAACUCCCAGAAUGCUACUGAAUUUUACUGAAUGUAAAUUAUACAUCAAAUAAAGAAUGAGAAAAUAGAGACUAAA